CAGUCGCCACGGUAAUACGAAGGGGGCUAGCGUUGCUCGGAUUUACUGGGCGUAAAGGGCGCGUAGGCGGACAGUUAAGUUGGGGGUGAAAGCCCGGGGCUCAACCUCGGAAUUGCCUUCAAUACUGGCUGUCUUGAGUGUGAGAGAGGUGUGUGGAACUCCGAGUGUAGAGGUGAAAUUCGUAGAUAUUCGGAAGAACACCAGUGGCGAAGGCGACACACUGGCUCACUACUGACGCUGAGGCGCGAAAGCGUGGGGAGCAAACAGGAUUAGAUACCCGAGUAGUCCCUGUCUCUUAUAC
rnacentral:rRNA from 1 species